UACGUAGGGGGCAAGCGUUAUCCGGAUUUACUGGGUGUAAAGGGAGCGUAGACGGCAGUGCAAGUCUGGAGUGAAAGGCGGGGGCUCAACCCCCGGACUGCUCUGGAAACUGUACGGCUGGAAUGCAGGAGAGGUAAGUGGAAUUCCUAGUGUAGCGGUGAAAUGCGUAGAUAUUAGGAGGAACACCAGUGGCGAAGGCGGCUUACUGGACUGUAACUGACGUUGAGGCUCGAAAGCGUGGGGAGCAAACAGG
rnacentral:rRNA from 1 species